CAUCGCCACGGGAAUACAGAGGGUGCGAGCGUUAAUCGGAUUUACUGGGCGUAAAGCGUGCGUAGGCGGCUUCUUAAGUCGGAUGUGAAAUCCCUGAGCUUAACUUAGGAAUUGCAUUCGAUACUGGGAAGCUAGAGUAUGGGAGAGGAUGGUAGAAUUCCAGGUGUAGCGGUGAAAUGCGUAGAGAUCUGGAGGAAUACCGAUGGCGAAGGCAACCAUCUGGCCUAAUACUGACGCUGAGGUACGAAAGCAUGGGGAGCAAACAGGAUUAGAUACCCCGGUAGUCCCUGUCUCUUAUACC
rnacentral:rRNA from 1 species